rnacentral:tRNA from 1 species
GCCCCGGUAGUAUAGCCCGGUCCAGUAUGCGGGCCUGUCGAGCCCGUGACCCGGGUUCAAAUCCCGGCCGGGGCGCCA